AUGGGCGCGGUCAUUUCUCAUGUCAUGGAAAAUGGAAAGGAAAGGCCUGUGGCAUUUGCAUCAAGGACAUUAACUGAAGCUGAGCGGAAGUAUGCCCAGAUAGAAAAAGAGGCCCUUGCCAUAACUUUUGGAGUCAAGAAAUUCCAUAAAUAUCUGUAUGGAAGGAAAUUCACCCUCAUAACAGAUCACAAGCCACUGCUGGCUAUACUAGGGCCAAAGCCAGCUGUCCCAACACUCGCUGCACUAAGAAUGCAACGCUGGGCUCUUCUAAUUCUAAUGGCAUACAACAAUGACAUUGAGUACAGAAGAUCAGCUGAACAUGCCAAUGCAGAUGCGUUGUCAUGUUCACCUCACAACACACCAGACAACACUGCAGAGGAAGGGAGUAUCUUCUAUUUCUCACAUGUGGAAGAGCUACCCAUAGUAGCUAAAGACACUGAGAGAGCAACCAUGAAAUAUCCAAUUCUCAGCAAGGUCUGGAGUUACACCAUGAAUGGGUGGCUGAGUUAUGUGCAAGAUGAAUCACUUAAGCCUUACUUUACACGCAGACACGAGCUGUCAGCAGAACAAGGAUGUGUUCUUUGGGGACAACAAGUUAUCAUUCCACCAGUUUACCGACAGAAAGUGCUGGAAGACCUGCAUCAUGAACAUCCUGGUAUCUGUCAUAUGAAACCACUUGCCCGCAGUUACCUGUGGUGGCCAGGCUGUGAUGGUGAUAUACAAGAACUGGUUCAAGGCUGCUCAGUCUGUCAGGCUGUACAGAAGUCACCAGCUGUUGCACCACUCCAUCCUUGGAAGUGGCCUGAGAGAGUCUGGCAACGGAUUUACAUUGAUUUUGCUGAAAAAGACAAGCAGUACUUUUUAGUUGUCAUUGACAGUCAUUCAAAAUGGUUGGAAGUGUUCCCUAUGUCAUCCAUUACCUCACACAAUACCAUUGAGGUUUUGAGAGGUUUAUUUGCUUCAUAUGGACUUCCAGAAGAGCUUGUUUCAGACAAUGGACCUCAACUUGUGUCAAAGGAAUUCAGUCAGUUUUUGGAGUUAAAUGGGAUCAGACACACAGCUGUACCCGUUUAUCAUCCUGCAUCAAACGGGGCAGCAGAGAGGUCAGUACAAAUCCUGAAACGAUCCCUGAUGAAAAAUGUGCUGGAAGCAGAUGGUAAGGCCACAUUGUCACUCAGUCAUCGAUUGGCAAACUUCCUUAUCAUGUAUCGCAGUACACCACACACUGUGAAGGGUCGUAUGCCAGCAGAGUUGUUCCUGAAACGUCAGAUCCGGACUUGUUUCAGCCUGCUCAAGCCUGAACUAAGCAGACACAUUGAACAGAAACAGUCUGAGCAGAAGCGACACCAUGAUCACAGAACCCAACCUGUUCGUGUUUUUUCGGAGGGAGAUGCUGUGCAUAUCCAAAACUUCGGUGUGUGUGUGUGUGUGUGUGGGGGGGGGUAA
rnacentral:lncRNA from 1 species